rnacentral:lncRNA from 1 species
GUGCUUGUGAUUCUCCUACAGUAAUUGUGUUCAUGGUAAUAUAAAAGGCAGUGAAAGCUUCCAUUAGUGCCUGUUCCUGCAAAGACCACCACAAUUCCUACAGCUUUAACAGCAGCAUGAAGAGUUUCAGUACAACAAAACAGUGAUGACAAAGCCAGGCUCUCACCAGCAGUUGUCCAUUCGAAGACCUAGGAGGGCAUUUUAUGAAGGAGACUUCCAAAAGGGAAAUCUUCAUGCAACUUUAAAGGUUGUUUUGAAGCAGUUUAUUCAAAGUUAGAGUUUGUUAAACAAGUACAAGCCUCUGGGAUAGGUUUUGCUCUUCUUAUGUCACUCAAGUCAUACUUUUUCCCCUUCACUAGAUGGCAGCAAGAAGAUAGCUAUAGGGAUUUGCAGGAUUAGUAUUUUUUUUAAAAAAAUACAGUAGACAGAGAGUUUUCAAUUGGUUUCUUGUUUGAACGGGUUUCUUUAGCAGUCCCCUUAGACAGAAAGCUCUCAACAACCAAACCAACCAGCAGCACGUUGGCCAAGCGCAGCGGCAGAGGAACCUCAAACAUCUCUUUUUCAGGCAGGAGAAGAGAGACAGCAUAGCUACGGUUUUUGCACUGGUGUCUGCCCUCCCCACACCCAGAUCUGCACGCUGAUCUCCAGCCUUCUCCACCCCACUGCCAUUCAGAUGGACAAAAAUCUAAGAGGACUGAGGAACCUGGUUGUUCCAUCCCUCACCCCUCAUCUCUUGGCAAGCAGCAUGGAUGCAUGGUUAGGGAAUGGGAUUUAUAAUUCCUCCCCACACAAACAAGUCAAGAUCUGGUGAACAACACUGCUAACAACAGCUAAUUAACUGUCUGUUGAUGAUUUUGUGUCAUUCAGUAGGCCUGUCAUAGGAAGAGCUGGUAACAUGAAUGUAAUGAAGCCAGGAGGAGGCUGGAAAGAAGUGAGGAUCAGGCUGAGUGGGUCAUGGAGGGUGUUCUUCCCUCCUUGAACUGACCUGGAAUCCAAUCUAAUUCAAUGUACACCUUAGAAAUCCACGGGCAGAUGAUGAAGUACCCUCUGCAGCUGAGAGGAAAGGGCUGGGGAAAUGUUCCUGCUGUUGAGGUUUGACUGUUGACUGUUCUCCUCAGCUGCAGCCCUGGAAGGUGCCGGAAUUACUCUGGCCAUGGAGAAUCCCACACCAGGACAGGAAGCCUGGCCCAGUGGUCCAGGGGAUGCAGCUCUGCUCCUGCUGAAGGCAAUGAGGGAGGCUCCUGCAGAAACAAGGGCUGGCCUUUGAUGACUUUGGUGACACAGUCUGGUUUCUGCUCCUGGGUUCUUGUGACUUCUCUGGGUCUGGGAGUGACCAGACCCACUGUCCCUUCAGUUUGUAAUAAUGGAUUCUGCUCAUUAGUUCUGUGCAUUUUUCUAUCUCUGCUAUCGAAUUGAAAACCAAAUCAUAUCCACGGAACAGCACCCGGAGAGAGGUGACAGAGGUGAGACUCAUGUAAAACAGGCAGAAUUAUAACUCCUACAUCCAUUUC